GACCGUUCCUGGGUCAUGAGUCAGGCUGUUACGCACCAGUGGAGAUCGAUACUGACGAUACUGCGGCGGACAUAUAGCUGGUCGCCAUGGGACAGUACUCUGAGCCGAUAAUGUAUGACACCGACACGCGUUUCUCGAGAGCGUUAAGGGUUAGGACGUUCCUGAAAUCACUCGGAAUGUCGCACGACAUAACCGUCCAUAGGACUUUCCUUGAGUGUUUCAGGUGAGGGGACGAAGAA
rnacentral:lncRNA from 1 species